AUUGAACGCUGGCGGCAUGCUUUACACAUGCAAGUCGAACGGUAACAGGCCUUCGGGUGCUGCCGAGUGGCGCACGGGUGAGUAAUGCAUCGGAACGUGCCCAGAGGUGGGGGAUAACGCAGCGAAAGCUGUGCUAAUACCGCAUGUGAUCUGAGGAUGAAAGCGGGGGACCAAGCAGCAAUGUUUGGCCUCGCGCCUCUGGAGCGGCCGAUGUCAGAUUAGGUAGUUGGUGGGGUAAAGGCCUACCAAGCCGACGAUCUGUAGCUGGUCUGAGAGGACGACCAGCCACACUGGGACUGAGACACGGCCCAGACUCCUACGGGAGGCAGCAGUGGGGAAUUUUGGACAAUGGGCGCAAGCCUGAUCCAGCAAUGCCGCGUGCGGGAAGAAGGCCUUCGGGUUGUAAACCGCUUUUGUACGGAACGAAAAGGCUCUGGCUAAUACCUGGGGCUGAUGACGGUACCGUAAGAAUAAGCACCGGCUAACUACGUG
rnacentral:rRNA from 1 species